rnacentral:tRNA from 1 species
GUCCAGGGAUGGGAAUCGAACCCACUGUGUUCCGCUUACCGGGCAGAUGCCAUGUCCACUAGGCUACCCUGCA